rnacentral:rRNA from 1 species
UACGUAGGUGGCAAGCGUUGUCCGGAUUUAUUGGGUUUAAAGGGUGCGUAGGCGGGUAAGUAAGUCCGUGGUGAAAUCUCUGAGCUUAACUCAGAAACUGCCGUGGAUACUAUUUGCCUUGAAUAUUGUGGAGGUGAGCGGAAUAUGUCAUGUAGCGGUGAAAUGCUUAGAUAUGACAUAGAACACCAAUUGCGAAGGCAGCUCACUACACAAUCAUUGACGCUGAGGCACGAAAGCGUGGGGAUCAAACAGG